rnacentral:rRNA from 1 species
AACGAACGCUGGCGGCAUGCCUAACACAUGCAAGUCGAACGAAGGCUUCGGCCUUAGUGGCGCACGGGUGCGUAACGCGUGGGAAUCUGCCCUUAGGUACGGAAUAACUCAGGGAAACUUGAGCUAAUACCGUAUAAUGACUCCGGUCCAAAGAUUUAUCGCCUAGGGAUGAGCCCGCGUCGGAUUAGCUAGUUGGUGAGGUAAAAGCUCACCAAGGCGACGAUCCGUAGCUGGUCUGAGAGGAUGAUCAGCCACACUGGGACUGAGACACGGCCCAGACUCCUACGGGAGGCAGCAGUGGGGAAUAUUGGACAAUGGGCGAAAGCCUGAUCCAGCAAUGCCGCGUGAGUGAUGAAGGCCUUAGGGUUGUAAAGCUCUUUUACCCGGGAUGAUAAUGACAGUACCGGGAGAAUAAGCCCCGGCUAACUCCGUGCCAGCAGCCGCAGUAAAAC